UUGUCACGAAGUCGUUAGCUCAUGUUUGACUUGUACAGUCAGACCUCAGUAGUAGAAUUAUUUUAUUUUAUAAUUAAUUGUUAUUUUCUUUAGCUAUAUUACCACCAGGGUAUUAUUGUAUUUAUAUUCUCUGAUCACUUUCUCUUCUUCUCUCCCGACCCUCUCCACAUACCCUUCUCCAUAUUUUAUACUCUUUAACAGUCAACAAUAAUUCACACGAAUGGCAAAUUAAGCAGCAUUUGGUAUUUCAAAUUGAUUUAGAGAAAUCAUUGAAGUCCGGACGUCUUUAUAGGUUGGAAAGGACACCACGGAAGUAAUCAUAUUUAUCUCAAUAAUUUAGAGGAAUUGCAAGGUAGGUUUCCGGAUUUCAAUUUGAUUUAGCGAUCUUUGGAAUCAGGGGUGUUUAUCUAUAAAUUUGUGUCCUCUGAAAAGUCCUGCGUCUGUAGACUGUACUUUCUCUCUCCUUCCUUAAGCACAAGUUGUCACUAUUGAUGCAUACAAAGCUAAAGUUCUCCAUUCCGGACACGGCCGGUUAUCUUGAUGUCAGCUUCUCUUCCCUGAAAAAGUAGUCACAUCGGACAAAAACUCGGUCUUCUUUCCCCCAAUCAAAGACUAAUAUUUUCCUUGUUCCUUUUCCUUGAAACCAACCGGUAUUCCAUGAAGAACACUGCAAACAAUCGAAUUUCCAAGGUGGGUUUCGCUUGGAAGGUGAGAAAAUUGCUUUCUCUGCUGAGAAACUUGACGAUUGGGGAGGGGAAGAAACAGAAGCAACCACCACCACUGCCCAUCCUCCCCAACGACAUCAUCUAUGAAAUUCUCUUGCUACUACCCAAUAAGUCUCUAGCUCGAUUCAGGUGUGUUUGCAGAGAAUGGAACAACUUACUAACCAGUUCGAACUUCCUCUACAAGUGCUUGCACUAUUGUCCCUGUAGAAGAACAAGGCACAUUUGCAGAGAAUGGAAGAACUUACUAACCAGUUCCAACAGCUCAAUGUGUUGUCGCUAUUGUCGACUUCCCAUGCGGUGUUAUUGUCGCAAUUGUCGAGUUCCCAUGCAAAGACCAUGUUUAUAUUACGGGGAAUGCCCAUCCUAUCCAAUUCGAGAAUUGAGAGAACGAAAGAGGUUCUUUCCCUCUGGUAGAGCAGCAAGAGAUUAUGCCUUUGGAUACUUUCAGGAUGAAGAAGCGGACAGUGAAUGAAGAAGCCAGCAGGGAAAUCUAAGCAGGACCCUACACGUUUUUCCUCCACAGCUUGAAAGUAAUGUCCAACUGAUUUUGCCUAUCCCUAUUAUGAAAUGAAAACGAGAACUAACAUUCACAAAAAGUAAUUGAACAUGUCUAUUUCCACUUUUGUUUUUCUUAAGUCAUAGUUAGUCUCUACAUUAAAGCAAUCUAACAUUAAGUACACUCUACUUGAUGUGAAAUUAAACUCUUUUUCAAAUUGGAAAUGUGAAUUGGAAAUGUGCUUUUAUUUGAUAUCAAUGUGUUUUUGCCUAGCCUAUUAUGAAUUGGAAAUGUGUACUAUUAUUAUUGGCAAUUGCUUCAUUUCCGGAUUUUUUUUUUCUU